rnacentral:rRNA from 1 species
AUUGAACGCUGGCGGAAUGCUUUACACAUGCAAGUCGAGCGGCAGCGCGGCCUUCGGGCUGGCGGCGAGCGGCGAACGGGUGAGUAAUGCAUCGGAACAUGCCCAGUCGUGGGGGAUAACACUUCGAAAGAAGUGCUAAUACCGCAUACGUCCUGAGGGGGAAAGCGGGGGAUCGCAAGACCUCGCGCGAUUGGAGUGGCCGAUGUCAGAUUAGCUAGUUGGUGGGGUAAAGGCCUACCAAGGCGACGAUCUGUAGCUGGUCUGAGAGGAUGAUCAGCCACACUGGGACUGAGACACGGCCCAGACUCCGACGGGCGGCAGCAGUGGGGAAUUUUGGAAAAUGGGGGCAACCCUGAUCCAGCCAUUCCGCGUGAGUGAAGAAGGCCUUCGGGUUGUAAAGCUCUUUCGGCAGGAACGAAACGGUGGGCUCUAACAUAGUCCGCUAAUGACGGUACCUGAAGAAGAAGCACCGGCUAACUACGUG